ACAACUGAUAUUCCGAUGGGUGGAAUGACGGGGUAACGCCCUGAAACGCCCCCUUGAUACUCCGACGUGCGCAGCGGUGUGUAAUAACUACUGUGUACGAAGCUCGGUGAAGCCGGCAGAGAGCAACCGUAAGCAGAUGAAAAACAAUGCCUGCACGAAAGCUGUCCAGAGGUGGAUGGUGUUGCCUAUAUGCCGGAGGUCUAUAAA
rnacentral:ncRNA from 1 species